AAGGAUGAAGGACCCGAUGCGCAAUUAGGCCAUUAAGACAAAAUGCAAUGAUCACUGGCCAUUAACGGUGUCACUUUUCCCACUAUAAAAACCAACCCAAAACCCUAAUUAGAAAGCCUUUAGUUUUCUUCAAAACAACAGCCACAACAAACAUUUUAAAAAAAAAAAAAAUAAUAAUUGCUCUGCUAGGGCUCUUUUAACCCAUUUUGCGUCGCCGUUCGUGCCAACGCUCCGAUUGCGACGGAGAUGGCAACCAUCCGGCGACUUUGACGAAAGAGGUUCGGUGGCCGUGGAGUGCGCCCGUACGUGGAGGCGCAACUCGCGCGAAUGGUGGCUACUGUUGCGGCUUGCGACGACUGCUGGUGGCUGCUUUAGGGUUUCCCUCUUUUUUUUGUGUUUUAGGCUAGUGGGCUUGCUUAGGGUUGGGUCUGGUCUGUAAAUAAGUAAUUGGGCUUGUAAAAAAACUUGGACUGCCUUAUUUUUUUGUUUUGUAAGGGCCCGGGCCAAUUGGGCCUGUUACAAUUAUUUUAGAAAAUUUUUAAAAUUUUAACUUUCUUUA